rnacentral:rRNA from 1 species
UACGUAGGGUGCGAGCGUUAAUCGGAAUUACUGGGCGUAAAGCGUGCGCAGGCGGUUCGUUAAGUCAGAUGUGAAAGCCCCGGGCUCAACCUGGGAACUGCAUUUGGGACUGCAAGGCUGGAGUGUGGCAGAGGAGACUGGAAUUCCUGGUGUAGCAGUGAAAUGCGUAGAUAUCAGGAGGAAUACCGAUGGCGAAGGCAGGUCUCUGGGCUGACACUGACGCUCAUGCACGAAAGCGUGGGGAGCAAACAGG